rnacentral:rRNA from 1 species
CGGAACGUGCCCAGUCGUGGGGGAUAACUGCUCGAAAGAGCAGCUAAUACCGCAUACGACCUGAGGGUGAAAGCGGGGGAUCGCAAGACCUCGCGCGAUUGGAGCGGCCGAUAUCAGAUUAGGUAGUUGGUGGGGUAAAGGCCCACCAAGCCAACGAUCUGUAGCUGGUCUGAGAGGACGACCAGCCACACUGGGACUGAGACGCGGCCCAGACUCCUACGGGAGGCAGCAGUGGGGAAUUUUGGACAAUGGGCGCAAGCCUGAUCCAGCCAUGCCGCGUGCGGGAAGAAGGCCUUCGGGUUGUAAACCGCUUUUGUCAGGGAAGAAAAGGUUCUGGUUAAUACCUGGGACUCAUGACGGUACCUGAAGAAUAAGCACCGGCUAACUACGUGCCAGCAGCCGCGGUAAUACGUAGGGUGCAAGCGUUAAUCGGAAUUACUGGGCGUAAAGCGUGCGCAGGCGGUUAUGCAAGACAGAGGUGAAAUCCCCGGGCUCAACCUGGGAACUGCCUUUGUGACUGCAUGGCUAGAGUACGGUAGAGGGGGAUGGAAUUCCGCGU